UGCAGGCUUUGGCCUGAUCCAGCAGGGCUCUUUUUAUGUUCUUAUGAUUAAGAUACAGUUGCUUACAAAAGCUUGUGUGCCACAAUAAACCAGACAGCCUCUAAGAUGUGCAACAGCAUAAUUUACUUAUUAUUCAUUUUAACUCAUGCCAAGGAGGCAGGAGAGAAAUGGGGGGAAGAUUUUGCACAGGACCAAAUGACAGGAGGUGCAUAUGCUGUGGUGGGAGAGGGCUGAAAAUCCAAAUACUGAUUGAAAAUAACCAGCCAUGGCUCCAUCUGCAAAUUUAUAGUGGGGAUACCCAGUUUGUGUUAGGUGGAAGUGGCAGCGGCAGCGAAAGACGAAUCAGAAACAGAAACAGAAGCAGUACUGGGAGGAAUGUGGGGUCCCUAGCAAAAAGCAGGAGCAGUCUGUGUCUGGUGAGAACCUGGAGGCGGUAGUAGGAAGUGUUGCAGGGUCUAUCUUAAGCAUCAGGAAGGAGUCUCUGUGGGGAAAUGCAGGGUUUAUUUUGGAUAGUGCAGUAUUUGAGAAACAGAGAGCCAAAGCAAAUGGGGUGGGAAAGUAGCCAUUCCUGGCAGCCUGGACAGUUGGGAUGGUAAAGCCAAAAGCAGCUCCUUUCAUUGCAGUUGCUGGAAGAUGGAAGAAGAAGCUAGACUGUUCUCAUCCCUGAGGCUCUCUGAUAAAUCCUUCCACUCCCUUUAGUUUCCCUGCCGGGGACCACAUCAGACUUCCUUGGGCUAGAAGCCCAGAUUUCUAAACCUAUAUUUGUUAUAUUGUUCAAAUAUAUUGUUGAACAAUCUAUAGAUAUAUUAAUAUAACAAAUAUAUUGUUAUAUUUGUAUCUUCAAAUAUAAAGAGCUCUGAAGUGUGUACAGAUAAAGAAGGAUCAGUCUCUUCAGGAAAAGAUGAGGUCUCUGCAUAGGGAACAGCUGCAGAGAGACAAAGUCUAAACCUAGUGAUUGUGGCUGUGGGGAUGAGGAUGUGGGGUGUUGCGCUCCUAAAUACUUCUUUCCCUUUGCAGAAGUCAUACUAUCACCCUCCCUCCCAUUGAUCCUGCUGCUACCAGAGUUUCACGGAAUUAGGCAGCCCUUUCCAUCCACGGCACAAGGGAUUGCCUCCUCACAGUUAAGAGCCUGUGUCCCAGGAGUUUUCCUGCAACAGGCUACAUUGGCAGCUCUAAAGGUCAUUUUCUAAAAAAGACAGAACUGGCGGAGAGAUGAAUGAGAAAAUGCAGCCUGCAAAGGCCUUUCCAGGAGAUCAGUUUAAUGCAUAGAGGAUGUCGCAAAACCAUACGUGUCGAAUGAGGCUUCUGCUGCGUCUCACACCUGGAAGGCUUGUUUUGCUUCAUGCUGUUUACACUGAAAAGCUGAAUCGCUGAGCCAGCCUGCGCGUCAGUUUUCCUCCUGUCAUGACUUUGCUUUCAAAGAAGUGCUUCUCAGGAAUUAUGUGACAUGACUGUCAGGAUGCUGCAGUUUUUCCUUCUACUUUUCAGCUUUUAAUAUUCAUCCUCCCUCCCUCCUUCCCUCUUUGCCUCCUUCCCUCUUUUGCUGUAUCUGCCCUCUGUGACAUAUUUCCUGUUAAUCAGUAUGUGCUGGUGUAAAGAGUUGGGUUUGGGAAAGAGGCUUGUUGUUGCAUGUGCACUGUGGCACGUCCCCACAACAUCUGCAGCAGCGGGGCCAUUUCAGACUUCUUCAGAACAACUUGGUGAAAGAUCUUAUGUGCAUACGUAAUCAGGGGUGCUGAUCCCCUCUGCAAACAUUUGAGGAGUUCACCCUUCAUUUUGCUGAACUCUGUCCCAUCAAAUGUAUCAACUCAUAUCUUUAAUCCCCUAAACCUAUUUUUCUACCCUACAAAAAGUAUCUUUCCUCACAGCCCCAAAAUGGAAGUGAGAAGUUGCUUCUCAAGCUUCCUUCUAUCUGCACCCCUGUACAAAAUCAUACAUAAAGAGCCUUCACGUAUACAUUUUAUGCACACAGGCUCUUUCACAAUUUAUGCUUAAAACACAUAGUGGCGAGGAGAGAAGACAGGGGUGCAAUCCUGCUCCCACAUGUGUGUUCACCACACCAUGUAGAAAAGCACUUUAGAGUGUGCAUCUUCUCUGAUACUUUCCCACAUCAAGGCUAGCUGCCUGGGAACAAAACUAGUCCCCCACACCCACAAUGCAUUGUGUGAAUAUGGAGUAUUGUACCACUGAUGCUAGAUCGCAACUACGACUACUGCAGCACUACAAAUAGUGCAACCCUGUAUUUAUAUUAAAUACAGUAUAACCUGUAUUUAACCUGUGUUUUUAAGGGGAUCGUCUUAAAUUCAGAGUCUCUUCUAUUCAGGUAAAUAUUUAUUCGUAGUUUGUUUUAUGCUGUAAACAGCCUAGAGACUUCAGCAGUGGGCAGCAUACAGAUUUAUUAAAUAAAUAAUAAUAAAUAAUAAACAUGGCAAGAUUUUUGUAUUUACCUUAAUCCAAGACUAGGUUUCCCUCCAAGUUCUUUGAUGUUAGAAAUCAGGGUCCUCUUCCUUUCAGGUAAAUACAGUAUUUGAUUAAGUGCUGUCAAGUCAGUGUCGACUCUUAGCAACCACAUAGAUAGUUUCUCUCCAGGAUGAUCUUUCUUCCACUUGGCCUUUAAGUUCUCUCAGUGGUGCAUUCAUUGCUGUCAUAAUCAAGUCCAUCCACCUUGCUGCUGUUCAGCCUCUUCUUCUCUUUCCCUCAACUUUCCCAAGCAUUAUGGACUUCUCAAGGGAGCUGGGCCUUUGCAUAAUGUGUCCGACUGAAGUAUGAUAAUUUGAGCCUGGUCAUUUGUGCCUCGAGUGAAAAUUGUGGAUUGAUUGAUUUGUUCUGUGAUCCAUUUGUUUGUUUUCCUGGCUGUCCAUUGUAUCCUCAAAAGUCUUCUCCAGCACUAAAGUUCAAAAGCGUCAA